CCGGCAGUUGCCUCGUGAUCCGUGAUCAGUAGAUCGAAUCACAGCCAACUGCUGCU
rnacentral:pre_miRNA from 1 species